rnacentral:rRNA from 1 species
CUGGGUUUGACAUGUUCCUGACCGCCGUGGAAACACGGCUUCCCCUUGUGGGCAGGAUCACAGGUGGUGCAUGGCUGUCGUCAGCUCGUGUCGUGAGAUGUUGGGUUAAGUCCUGCAACGAGCGCAACCCCUGUCGCAUGUUGCCAGCAUUUAGUUGGGGACUCAUGCGAGACUGCCGGUGACAAACCGGAGGAAGGUGGGGAUGACGUCAAGUCCUCAUGCUCCUUAUGUCCAGGGCUACACACGUGCUACAUUGGCCGGUACAGAGGGCUGCGAUACCGCGAGGUGGAGCGAAUCCCAAAAAGCCGGUCUCGGUUCGGAUUGGAGGCUGAAACUCGCCUCCAUGAAGGCGGAGUUGCUAGUAAUCCCGGAUCAGCAACGCCGGGGUGAAUACGUUCCC